GCCUGUCAUUUCGUUCAGUAAGUCUUGAUGCUGUGAUUUCCGAUAAUUUAUCGCUUCUAGACUCCGCCAUUGAGUGUUUUUAAAAUGAGAUUGAAAAUUUCGCAAAUAAUCAAUAAAAUAAUUGAGAAUCUCUUUGUUUUGUUCACCAAUCAUAAAGGUGAAAUUCUAACUGGGUUAAUAAAAUCUUCAGAAACUCACUGCAGGCUUUGCAGAGAAACAUAGAUGUUUUCCAGCCGAAGUGUAAGUUGAAUCAUUGUCGCAAUUGAUUGUGGGGUGUGUCACCAUUAAAACCAUCGAAAUUGGUAUCAGACGAAGAGAAACAAAUAAGGAGUCGAGUCCAAGUUUUCCACUGUGUCUGCAGGAGCUUAGAAAAUAAAAAUAAAUAAAUAACAAAUGAAUCAAUCAAUAAAAAAAUAGUCAAAUAUCAACAAACAAUUUGAAAUAGAAAGAAAAUCGUCCAAAUAACAAGAAAUAUACUUAAUUAUAGAUAAAUAUAGAUAAUAAUUAACAAAAAGAAGAUCAUGUAAAAACUGCAAACAUUACUGUAAAAGACAGACAUUUAAGAGAAUAAACAAAUAAAAACAUAACUAUUCAUUA